rfam:Bacillus sp. LL01 scaffold11.1, whole genome shotgun sequence.
CGCGGGGUGGAGCAGUUCGGUAGCUCGUCGGGCUCAUAACCCGAAGGUCACAGGUUCAAAUCCUGUCCCCGCAA